rnacentral:rRNA from 1 species
AGUGAACGCUGGCGGUAGGCCUAACACAUGCGAGUCGAACGGCAGCACAGUAAGAGCUUGCUCUUACGGGUGGCGAGUGGCGGACGGGUGAGGAAUACAUCGGAAUCUACUUUUUCGUGGGGGAUAACGUAGGGAAACUUACGCUAAUACCGCAUACGACCUACGGGUGAAAGCAGGGGAUCUUCGGACCUUGCGCGAUUGAAUGAGCCGAUGUCGGAUUAGCUAGUUGGCGGGGUAAAGGCCCACCAAGGCGACGAUCCGUAGCUGGUCUGAGAGGAUGAUCAGCCACACUGGAACUGAGACACGGUCCAGACUCCUACGGGAGGCAGCAGUGGGGAAUAUUGGACAAUGGGCGCAAGCCUGAUCCAGCCAUACCGCGUGGGUGAAGAAGGCCUUCGGGUUGUAAAGCCCUUUUGUUGGGAAGGAAAAGCAGCAGGUUAAUACCCCGCUGUUCUGACGGUACCCAAAGAAUAAGCACCGGCUAACUUCGUG